rnacentral:lncRNA from 1 species
CGGCGCGCCCCAUGAUUGGCCGGCGUCCCCGCGAUUAUUUGCAUAUAGCCCACCCACUCAGAUACCCCGCCCACAGGGAGGUGGGCGGUGUCCUGCGAGUUACGCGCCCCGCGCCGCCUCCGACGGCCCCGCCCACAGCCCCUGGCGCGCCUUCCUGGAAGCUCCUCACGCUGACAGGCCUCGCUUCUCCUCUCUGCAGCUGCUCGGGUGGCUUUGCUCCCGGAUCUCCUGAGUUGGGCCAUCCGAGGUCACCUCUGGGCGCCUCCCGAGGCCUGUUUCCUACUUGGAACAAGGUGGCAAAAGGUGGAAAACUUCUGGCUCCAGCAAGAAAGCACCUUGUUAAGAGACAUAAAACAUGGGGCCAGAGGACAGAGAGGAUUGGACCCUAG